rnacentral:rRNA from 1 species
UACGAAGGGGGCUAGCGUUGUUCGGAAUUACUGGGCGUAAAGCGCGCGCAGGCGGCCAUUCAAGUCAGGGGUGAAAGCCCAGAGCUCAACUCUGGAACUGCCCUUGAAACUGUAUGGCUUGAGUAUGAGAGAGGUGAGUGGAAUUCCCAGUGUAGAGGUGAAAUUCGUAGAUAUUGGGAAGAACACCGGUGGCGAAGGCGGCUCACUGGCUCAUUACUGACGCUCGAGGCGCGACAGCGUGGGGAUCAAACAGG